UGGCAGCCCAGGGACUAAGCCCUGGGAAAUUCUGCCAUAUGGCAGGACGUUGGAGGCGAUGUGGGCCAGAAGCAGCGGGCAGAAGACCUGGGGUCUUGGACUGGCUCUGCUAGCCUGUCUCUGCAUGGCUCCGGUUGGCCCUGUAAUCUCUCUGUGCCUCAGUUGCUCUAACUGUAAAGUGGGGCAAACAACUCCUCUGCUCCCUGCCUGCUGUAAAGGCAAGAUAUUUAGAGGCCCUUUGAAAUGUCAAGAGCACGGCUGCAAAUGUGAGGCCCGACUGCCAAGGGAAUUUGCAGAGCCCACGGGGAGGCAGCCGUCUUCCUCAGCGUUGGUUUCACAGCCUGUGCUCAGACAGGUACUUAAGCAUCUCACAUCCAUAAAUCUCAGCUCGUAUCUGUAGUCAGCAAAUAAGGGAAAGGGCAGGCUGCCGCUCUGCUACCAUCUGAUCUUCUUACCAACCUCGGCUCUGGGCCUCCUCUGCCCCCACCCGAGGCGAUGAUCCCUCUGCCCUCCCGCGUCUGCUCUCGGCCUGUCAGUUUAAUUUAACAAGGUUGUGGGAGAGGCUUGAUUUAAUCAAACCAGUUGCUGUAUCCAUUCUGCUCAGAGGUCCCUCAGUGUCACCACCGAGGCUCAGAUUAGACAGUGACAAUUACUUCUUCUUCCCUGGCUAUAGCUUCCCCCUCCCUUUCUCUCCCUGAAGGGAACAAGGAGGCAGACCGGUCUCCUGGGACCUAAGAAUAGAUGCAUGAGGAUCAAAGGAGGGAAGCAGACUGGCCUGAGAAAGCCCCUCUCAUGCCUUACAUGGCCUGGUUGAAGGCUGAGCAACAGCCCGAGGGAUGGAGGGAUAGAAAAUUCGAGCAGAGCUGCCUUGGAAAGGCUCAGGACUGCCUGAGGACAGAGCUGUGCUAGUCCCAGCGCCAUUAUCGAUGGCCCUCGGAGAUACACCGGGUCUCGGAAACAGGGUGGAGGGGUGCGCCAAUGCUCUGUACGCGCCAGCCCGCAAGCAUUUAUUUCCAGGUUCUCAGCGUGGAUUCUGGGGUCUCCAGAGCUGGGAAAGAGCAACAACAAACAAAGGAAGUGGGUGCUCGGGCGCCUCUUGCUCUCUCGAGCGGCUCACAGGAGAGAGACGAAGGCCUCUUGAAGAGUCCUCACUCAGGGUGAUGGGAAUCCUGUUUCCUUUUGCUCAUUUGUGUCACAUUCUUCCAUCGGGCUGGGCAACUGACAGGUGCAUCCCUCCCCGGGCCCCUCUCCGAGUCCCCUCCCUGCCAUUUGUCUCUCACCCAGAUAUCGGGCAGACGCCACCAUCCGCGGAAGCUGAAUAUGAUUAGCAGAAACCCUUCCUGACAGCUCCAAAG
rnacentral:lncRNA from 1 species